rnacentral:rRNA from 1 species
AACUGCAUGUGAUACUGUCAGUCUACCGUAUACAUGCUGAUGGCGGAAUGUGUAAUGUCCGACUGAAUGUGGGCGGGUUGCAGCCCAACACCCGAACUGAAACUGCUUUUCUGAGCUAUAACUGACGCUCAUGAGGUCACUUCCCUUUGAUCCAACCAGAGUAGAUACCCUGGUAGUCCACGACUGAAGGGGAUGAUUACAUUUUGUUGGCGAUACACUGUCCUCGUCUUUGUCGACGGCAAGUCUCAAUCCACCUGGGGAGUUACUUGCUGGAUUGAAACUCAAAGGAAUUGACUGGGGGCCGCACUUACGGAAGAUCAUGUGGUUUAAUUCUGAGAUCCACCAUGCACCUUACGUGGGCUCGAACGUGAGAUGACUAUGGGAGAAAUCUCAUAUCUCUUCAUGUCAUUUCUUGAGAUGGUUCUUGGCUGUCCUUCGAUCGAGCCGUGUGGUGUGCUGCUUGUCCCAUACCCCGCGCAUUCCCUUGAUUUCAACCUUGCAGGCAAAGUCCGCAGCCCGAAAACGAAUUGGCUUUUGCUCUAGUGAGGAAGGAGGUGAUGACCCCCAAAUCAUAAUAGUCCCUUACUUCCAGGGUGGACCCACGUGGGUAAUCUGAUCCGUGUACAGAUGGCCACUACUUGGUGACAGGGAUGUCAAUCUCUGAACACAGUCCCACUUUCGAUCGCGAGUCUGCCACUCAA